AAUAGAUACCCGGGUAGUCCACGCCGUAAACGAUGAGUGCUAAGUGUUAGAGGGUUUCCGCCCUUUAGUGCUGAAGUUAACGCAUUAAGCACUCCGCCUGGGGAGUACGGCCGCAAGGCUGAAACUCAAAGGAAUUGACGGGGGCCCGCACAAGCGGUGGAGCAUGUGGUUUAAUUCGAAGCAACGCGAAGAACCUUACCAGGUCUUGACAUCCUCUGACAACCCUAGAGAUAGGACUUCUCCUUCGGGAGCAGAGUGACAGGUGGUGCAUGGUUGUCGUCAGCUCGUGUCGUGAGAUGUUGGGUUAAGUCCCGCAACGAGCGCAACCCUUGAUCUUAGUUGCCAUCAUUUAGUUGGGCACUCUAAGGUGACUGCCGGUGACAAACCGGAGGAAGGUGGGGAUGACGUCAAAUCAUCAUGCCCCUUAUGACCUGGGCUACACACGUGCUACAAUGGACGGUACAAAGAGCUGCAAGACCGCGAGGUGGAGCUAAUCUCAUAAAACCGUUCUCAGUUCGGAUUGUAGG
rnacentral:rRNA from 1 species